rnacentral:tRNA from 1 species
UGGCUGGUAAAGUGGUUAAGGCUGUUGGACUUAAGAUCCAAUGGACAUAUGUUGUCCGCGUGGGUUCGAACCCCACCCCAGGUAA